UACGGGGGGGGCAAGCGUUGUUCGGAAUUACUGGGCGUAAAGGGCUCGUAGGUGGCCAACUAAGUCAGACGUGAAAUCCCUCAGCUUAACUGGGGAACUGCGUCUGAUACUGGAUGGCUUGAGUUUGGGAGAGGGAUGCGGAAUUCCAGGUGUAGCGGUGAAAUGCGUAGAUAUCAGGAGGAACACCGAUUGCGAAGGCAGCUCGCUGGGACGUCACUGACGCUGAGACGCGAAAGCGUGGGGAGCAAACAGG
rnacentral:rRNA from 1 species